rnacentral:rRNA from 1 species
CCCCAUGUCUAGCCCACCCCCCACCCCACAAUCUUAUUGACCAAACAAAACAUUUCCACUAUUAAGUAAAGGCGAUUGAAAAACUUAUAAGCGCUAUAGACCUAGUACCGCAAGGGAACGAUGAAAUAUAAAUGAAAUAGCCUCAAGCCCCAAAUAGCAAAGCUCAACUCUUGUACCUUUUGCAUCAUGGUUACACCAGUCUAAUCAGACAAAAUAGUCUUAAGCCUGACCCCCCGAAACUGAGUGAGCUACUUCAAAAUAAUCUUCAGGAUAAACCCGUCUCUGUUGCAAAAGAGUGGGAAAAUUUUCAAGUAGCAGUGAUAAGCUUACCGGACUCAGAAAUAGCUGGUUAUUCGAGAAAAGAAUCUUAGUUCUACCUUAAGUCCCCAUAUUACGAAAAAAAUACCUUGAAACUUAAGAGCUAAUCAAAUAAGGUACAGCUUAUUUGAUAUAGGACACAGCCUCACACAAAGGGUACUCUACCUAAUUUACAUCAAGUGGGCCUAAGAGCAGCCNNAAAGGCGUCACAGCCUCAUCCACCAACAUCAAUAAUUUUUCAUAAUCCCCCUAACCCUUCACCCCUAUUGAAUGACCCCAUAAAUAUAUGGAAGCCACUAUGUCUAAACUAGUAACUAGAAUAUGAAAUUCUCCUUAAUGUAAGCAUAAGCCUAAACGGACACACCAACGGCAAUUAAAGUAAAUGAGCCACUUACAAUAACCCAUUAAAAAAAUUUGUAAUAACCAACGUUAACCUAACACAAGAACAUUAUAGGAAAGAUUUAAAGGAAAAGAAGGAACUCGGCAAAUUUUAACCCCGCCUGUUUACCAAAAACAUCGCCUCUUGAUAAAUUAUAAGAGGUCCAGCCUGCCCAAUGAUUUUUAAAUGGCCGCGGUACCCUAACCGUGCUAAGGUAGCACAAUAACUUGUCCUUUAAAUGAGGACUAGCAUGAACGGCACCACGAGGGUUAUACUGUCUCCUUUACCCAAUCAGUGAAACUGACCUUCUCGUGAAAAGGCGAGAAUCAGACUACAAGACGAGAAGACCCCAUGGAGCUUUAGACCCAAAGCAACACCUAAUUCAAUAACCCACCAAAAUUUUUAACCCUUGACUCCCAGUCUUAGGUUGGGGCGACCGCGGAGUAAAAUUAAACCUCCAUGCUAAACAGAUAAAAUCUUUAUCCAAGAGUCACAACUCUAAGAAUCAAUAAACUGAUACUUACUGACCCGAAACCGAUCAACGAACCAAGUUACCCUGGGGAUAACAGCGCUAUCCGCCUCAAGAGUCCAUAUCGACAGGCGGGUUUACGACCUCGAUGUUGGAUCAGGGUACCCCUGUGGUGCAGCCGCUACAUAAGGUUCGUUUGUUCA